AGUGAACGCUGGCGGUAGGCCUAACACAUGCAAGUCGAACGGCAGCACAGUAAGAGCUUGCUCUUACGGGUGGCGAGUGGCGGACGGGUGAGGAAUACAUCGGAAUCUACUUUUUCGUGGGGGAUAACGUAGGGAAACUUACGCUAAUACCGCAUACGACCUACGGGUGAAAGCAGGGGAUCUUCGGACCUUGCGCGAUUGAAUGAGCCGAUGUCGGAUUAGCUAGUUGGCGGGGUAAAGGCCCACCAAGGCGACGAUCCGUAGCUGGUCUGAGAGGAUGAUCCGCCACACUGGAACUGAAACCCGGUCCAGACUCCUACGGGAGGCAGCAGUGGGGAAUAUUGGACAAUGGGCGCAAGCCUGAUCCAGCCGUACCGCGUGGGUGAAGAAGGCCUUCGGGUUGUAAAGCCCUUUUGUUGGGAAAGAAAAGCAGCAGAUUAAUACCCCGCUGUUCUGACGGUACCCAAAGAAUAAGCACCGGCUAACUUCGUG
rnacentral:rRNA from 1 species